rnacentral:rRNA from 1 species
GACGUACUGCGCGAACGUUAUUCGGAAUCACUGGGCUUAAAGGGUGCGCAGGCGGCUCGUCAAGCCCGUGGUGAAAGGCCCCGGCCCAACCGGGGACGGUCUUCGGGGACUGACGAGCUCGGGCGACCUAGGGGUCUGUGGAACUCCCGGUGGAGCGGUGAAAUGCGCAGAUAUCGGGAAGAACACCCGUGGCGAAGGCGGCUCUCUGGGACGGUACUGACGCUGAGACGCGAAAGCGUGGGGAGCGAACAGG